CUUAUUUCUUGAAUCUUAAGUUCUUACAACUUCAUAACAUUGCUUUAUAUAGAGAAAGCUAAAACCCUAGUGUUCCUUCCACAUGUCUUCAUCCGCAUUCUUGGAACGAUCCAAGGGCUGCAAACGAGUUGUGAAGUUCAGGACCACAACGCUCCUCCGUACAUGACGUCAUAAUCUGCUUUCCUCUUCUCUUCUCUUCUCUGGCUCUGUUCUUGUCGUCGAGCGUUGUGUCCGUUGAAGGAGAUUGCUGACGUGGAGCAACUUGAGCUGAACUGGGCUUGUUGAGUUGGGCUGGAAUCAGUUUGGGCUGAGAAUCGUUGUUGUUCAAAACUGCAACGUUUUGAGCUCCAGCUUGAACUGAGGCUGCUGCGCUAAUACCCCCUCU
rnacentral:lncRNA from 1 species